AAAUUGAAGAGUUUGAUCAUGGCUCAGAUUGAACGCUGGCGGCAGGCCUAACACAUGCAAGUCGAACGGUAACAGGAAGAAGCUUGCUUCUUUGCUGACGAGUGGCGGACGGGUGAGUAAUGUCUGGGAAACUGCCUGAUGGAGGGGGAUAACUACUGGAAACGGUAGCUAAUACCGCAUAACGUCGCAAGACCAAAGAGGGGGACCUUCGGGCCUCUUGCCAUCGGAUGUGCCCAGAUGGGAUUAGCUAGUAGGUGGGGUAACGGCUCACCUAGGCGACGAUCCCUAGCUGGUCUGAGAGGAUGACCAGCCACACUGGAACUGAGACACGGUCCAGACUCCUACGGGAGGCAGCAGUGGGGAAUAUUGCACAAUGGGCGCAAGCCUGAUGCAGCCAUGCCGCGUGUAUGAAGAAGGCCUUCGGGUUGUAAAGUACUUUCAGCGGGGAGGAAGGGAGUAAAGUUAAUACCUCU
rnacentral:rRNA from 1 species